rnacentral:rRNA from 1 species
UACAGAGGGUGCGAGCGUUGUCCGGAAUUACUGGGCGUAAAGUGUGCGCAGGCGGCCGCGCAAGUCGAGUGUGAAAGCCCCGGGCUUAACUUGGGAAUUGCGCUCGAAACUACGUGGCUGGAGUGUGGCAGAGGAAGGUGGAAUUCCACGUGUAGCGGUGAAAUGCGUAGAGAUGUGGAGGAACACCAAUGGCGAAGGCAGCCUUCUGGGCCAACACUGACGCUCAUGCACGAAAGCGUGGGGAGCAAACAGG